rnacentral:rRNA from 1 species
ACGCUAGCUACAGGCUUAACACAUGCAAGUCGAGGGGAAACGACAUCGAAAGCUUGCUUUUGAUGGGCGUCGACCGGCGCACGGGUGAGUAACGCGUAUCCAACCUGCCCAUCACUUGGGGAUAACCUUGCGAAAGUAAGACUAAUACCCAAUGAUAUCUCUAGAAGACAUCUGAAAGAGAUUAAAGAUUUAUCGGUGAUGGAUGGGGAUGCGUCUGAUUAGCUUGUUGGCGGGGUAACGGCCCACCAAGGCGACGAUCAGUAGGGGUUCUGAGAGGAAGGUCCCCCACAUUGGAACUGAGACACGGUCCAAACUCCUACGGGAGGCAGCAGUGAGGAAUAUUGGUCAAUGGACGAGAGUCUGAACCAGCCAAGUAGCGUGCAGGAUGACGGCCCUAUGGGUUGUAAACUGCUUUUAUAAGGGAAUAAAGUGAGUCUCGUGAGACUUUUUGCAUGUACCUUAUGAAUAAGGACCGGCUAAUUCCGUGCCAGCAGCCGCGGUAAUACGGAAGGUCCGGGCGUUAUCCGGAUUUAUUGGGUUUAAAGGGAGCGUAGGCCGGAGAUUAAGCGUGUUGUGAAAUGUAGACGCUCAACGUCUGCACUGCAGCGCGAACUGGUUUCCUUGAGUACGCACAAAGUGGGCGGAAUUCGUGGUGUAGCGGUGAAAUGCUUAGAUAUCACGAAGAACUCCGAUUGCGAAGGCAGCUCACUGGAGCGCAACUGACGCUGAAGCUCGAAAGUGCGGGUAUCGAACAGGAUUAGAUACCCUGGUAGUCCGCACGGUAAACGAUGGAUGCCCGCUGUUGGUCUGAAUAGGUCAGCGGCCAAGCGAAAGCAUUAAGCAUCCCACCUGGGGAGUACGCCGGCAACGGUGAAAC